UACGUAGGGGGCAAGCGUUGUCCGGAAUCAUUGGGCGUAAAGCGCGCGUAGGCGGCCCGGUAAGUCCGCUGUGAAAGUCAAAGGCUCAACCUUUGAAUGUCAGCGGAUACUGCCGGGCUAGAGUCCGGAAGAGGCGAGUGGAACUCCUGGUGUAGCGGUGAAAUGCGCAGAUAUCAGGAGGAACACCUAUGGCGAAGGCAGCUCGCUGGGACGGUACUGACGCUGAGGCGCGAAAGCGUGGGGAGCGAACAGG
rnacentral:rRNA from 1 species